AGAGUUUGAUCCUGGCUCAGAGCGAACGCUGGCGGCAGGCCUAACACAUGCAAGUCGAGCGCCCCGCAAGGGGAGCGGCAGACGGGAGAGUAACACGUGGGAACGUACCCUUCAGUUCGGAACAACUCAGGGAAACUUGGGCUAAUACCGAAUACGUCCGUAAGGAGAAAGAUUUAUCGCUGAAGGAUCGGCCCGCGUCUGAUUAGCUUGUUGGUGAGGUAACGGCUCACCAAGGCUACGAUCAGUAGCUGGUCUGAGAGGAUGAUCAGCCUCACUGGGACUGAGACACGGCCCAGACUCCUACGGGAGGCAGCAGUUGGGAAUCUUGGACAAUGGGGGAAACCCUGAUCCAGCCAUGCCGCGUGAGUGAUGAAGGCCUUCGGGUUGUAAAACUCUUUCGACGGGGACGAUAAUGACGGUACCCGUAGAAGAAGCUCCGGCUAACUUCGUGCCAGCAGCCGCGGUAAUACGAAGGGGGCUAGCGUUGUUCGGAAUUACUGGGCGUAAAGCGCGCGCAGGCGGUCUUCCAAGUCAGUGGUGAAAGCCCGGAGCUCAACUCCGGAACUGCCAUUGAAACUGUGAGACUUGAGUACGAGAGAGGUGAGUGGAAUUCCCAGUGUAGAGGUGAAAUUCGUAGAUAUUGGGAAGAACACCGGUGGCGAAGGCGGCUCACUGGCUCGUAACUGACGCUCAGGCGCGACAGCGUGGGGAUCAAACAGGAUUAGAUACCCCCGUAGUCC
rnacentral:rRNA from 1 species